rnacentral:tRNA from 1 species
GGCAUCCUUUCAUUGGACGUGGCUUUUAACCACGUGGUCGUGGGUUCGAGUCCCACGGAUGGCG